GCUCCCAUGGUCUAGAGGUCUAGGACACCGCCCUUUCAAGGCGAUAACACGGGUUCGAAUCCCGUUGGGAGUGCCA
rnacentral:tRNA from 2 species